AGAAGGAAGAUUUUUCCCUGAUGUUGCUUUAAGGAAUGAUUUGGGGUAUUUAACAAGGAAAGGAGCCACGACUUCCCAAAAAAAAUAAGGAAUGAUGGGAUCUGACAUCCCAAAGCACAAGGAAGCCAAACCUAUUUUACCAGGGAAUUCUGAUUGAGUCAGAAUCCAGUGCAGGAGGAUGGUGCCAUCUAAAGGAACUAGAGCACAUGGAGAGCAGCAUCCAUGGAUUCAUUCCUUCUGCUUCCCAAGGGAGUUUCAGAUGGGUGUGGGACCGUCUCAUACUUAGGGAUAAUGACGGCCCUCAUUUACAUGGAAUUUGCUUAUUCCUGUCAAAGCUGGCAUCCAGAGAUAUUUCCCACCUGGCUCCUUUUUUCCACUGUGAAAAAUCCAAAGGAAUGUUGGAUGUCUGGGAUCCCCAGUCCAAGGAAAACAGGGCCAUCACCCAAAGCCAAACUGUGUGAUCCCACAGGAUUUAGAAUCACAUUUGGAAAUGCCAUAUCCAAAGUAGACAAGCUCUAUCCUGCCCCAGGACCUUCACUUGAGCAUUUGGAAUAAUCACUGGGAACCAGAAUCGUGAACUCCAGCACUGAAUUCCAAAAAAUUCUCUCGGCAUACGCAGCCAACAAACCCAAACCAAUCCCAGCAUUCUGAUUCCACCUUUUUUUUUUUUUUUUUUGGACUGGUUGCAUGCUAUGAAAGAGACAGUCAGGAUUUAUGGAGUUGCCACAAAAUUCUGUCAAGGUGGGACUUCCCACCAAAUUCCAGGUGCAGGAAUUCCUUUGGGCACUGAAUGAAUUUUCCCCAGCUUUUCCCUUUUCCAGCUUCUCUUCCCAGGUUGCUGAAUUCCAAAGGAAUCAGGCCACCUGGGAUGAGGACAUCACGUCCCUGUCAUUAAUCACCGCAGUUACCUUUCCACCCAGAGUGUUCCCUUUGUCAGAGCCUUGCCUGGAAAUCCUGGAAAAACAAAGGGACACCAUCCCGCAGGGCUGAGUCAACACUGCAUUCACCUCCUUAAUCCACAGCUGAGGCUUAGCUAAGGCCAGCUCUAAACCUCCUUAGAAAGCUCCAAAGCGGGAGCCAGCCUUUCCCGCUGCAGAUAAAUGGGAUGAUGACAGAAUCCAUUGAAAAAGUUUUUCUGGGAGUCCCAAAGCUCUGCAUUCCCAUCUCUGGUGGCAUUGGAAAGACAUGCUGGGACAUGUUAUCCCAUGAAGGUUUUCCUGGGAGUCCCAAAACCACGGCAGCGCAUUCCAAUCUCCGGCGGCAGCGGGAAGACAUGCCAGGACAUGUCCCACUAAAGUUUGGCUGUGGAACAACAGGGAUGAAAGACCUGGAAUCCGUCAUUGUCAACCAUCCAAAGCACACAGGAUUCGGAUUGGGAAAACAGGUCCCAACAGGAUAAUCCUAUUUUUGGCGGUUCCUGGAGGAGAGCGAUGUGGAACCAAGAGCUAGAGGGUCUAGGAUCAUCAGGGAUGCAUCCAUCCAUCCAUCCAUCCAUCCAUCCAUCCAUCCAUCCAUCCAUCCAUCCAAGGAACUUGCGCCAGUCUCCUUGGCAAUGAGAUUCCCUGUUUACAGGAUCUGGCACUUCUUAGGUUCCACUGGAUCCUCCAUUAAAUAGCUUGGAUAGGAAGGGAGUUUAAAGCUCAUCUCAUUCCAAACCCCCUUGCCAUGGACGCCUUCCACUAUUCCAGGUUGCUCCAAAUCCCAUCUAAUCUGGCCUUGGACACUUCCAGGGAUGGACCAGCCACAGCUUCUCUGGGAAUUCCAUUCCAAGACAUCCCUAUCCUUGCAGGGAAGAAUUCCUUUCAUAAUUCCAGUCCUGAAGCUUCUAGCUCCAAUCCAAUCCUCCACCAGCCAGGUGCUCUAUUCUCCUGAACGCCGGAGCCUCCACUGCAGCAUUCCCAGCAUUUUUGCCUGGAAGUGUCAUUUGGGGAUCCUCAGCAUAGUCCCACCUACCCAAGCCUAUUUGCAAAGUAAAUUUACUUGGGAUUUCCGAUCCCUUGGAAAGUUUUUCCUCCUCUAUUGAUUUAAAAUUAUUGGAGUUGACAUUAGGAACAGCUCAAACAAUUAAAGGGAGAAGAUAAAUAACUGCAUCCAGGUUCAUUUUCCAAAAUGCAAACACACGGCUCUCCUUACUCCAUGAUCCUGCAAUGAAGUGCUGUGGAAUUGGCCAAUGCAUUUCCAAUGGAUAAAACGGGUUUUUAGCCAAAAAAUCCAGAUUUUCUCUCAUAAAAUCCUGAUUUUCACCAAAAAAAAUCCUGAUUUUUGCUUCUUGGGUCAGCAGCUCAGUUUUUUGAGGGAUACCUUCCUGCUGGAAUUCCAAGAGUUGGAAUUCGAUUGGAAAAGGACACAAUCCAUGCCAUGCUUCCCAUCACCGAAUAUCCUCCAGGGAAUGUGCUCAUUCUCCGGGAUGCAAUUAUAAAAAUUGGCUUUGGGAUAAUCCCAUUAAGAUUAAAAAAAGAGGGAAUAACAGCAGGGUUAUGCUGUCAAGUGGUACCAGAGGGCGUGGGAAGAGUGAUUUUGGGAAUAUCCAAGGCAUAUCCUGAAGGAAGAACAGGGAAAAUUAAUUGUAAGUUGAUCAUGAUGAUGCUAAUUAAUUUCAUGGAGAAACAGGAAAAGAGGAUCAUGGAAAAAUAAUAACUAAUAAUGCCCAUCUUGGAAAAGGCUGGUGGGAAGACUGGGAUUUUGGGAAGCAGGACAUGGAGCCAGGAUCCUCUGGAAGUGGGACAAAGCCAAGGAGAGCUGGUUGAGCGCCACACAUCCCAGUGCUAAAAGUCAGGGGCACUUGAAAUUAAUUGGGGUGUAAGUUACAGAUGAAUCCCAUCCUCAGGAACUGCGGGCCAGGCGCACAAAGGUCCUCAGGUUCUUAGGGAUAAUCCCAUCAAACCUCAUCCUGCAGCUCUUUGAAGGCCCCUCUGGCGCUCAGCGACCCAAGAGGAGAGCAGCAUCUCCCAGCAGGUUGAACGUUCCAAAGGGAACUCCGGCCUUAUUCCAUUCCUCCAUUGGCUCCCCAAGCCGGUUCCAAAACCAGAGGAACUCAGUGGAAUCCGAUGGAUGCCACCACAUUCCCCAUAAUUCACCACCCAGAAUCCCAGUCCCCCGGUGGAAACCUUGCCCAGGGGACUGAGAAGCAGAGUGGGAAAACUGCAGGAAAAUUAUUGUUAUUGCUGUUGUUGUUGUUACAGACAGAAAAUAUAAUUAAUAAUAUUUAAUAAUUAUAAUGUAAAUAUUAUUGUUAAUAAAAACUAUUAUUAUCAUCA